rnacentral:rRNA from 14 species
UAUUGAGUGAUGGAGAGAAGGAGUAGUGACAGCUUCGCGCCCUGACGAAUGUGGGCGUUGAAAGGUGUAGGUAUAGGACUGGUAGGUAAAUCCGCCGGUUUUGCUGAAACCCAACAGUACCAGGAGGCUUCGGCCGAAUGGAUAGAAAGCGUAAGCAGACUUCCGAGAAAAUCUUCUAAACAUAUUGAUGCGCUACCCGUACCGGAAACCGACACAGGUAGUCAAGGAGAGAAUCCUGAGGUGCUCGAGUGAUCCAUGGCUAAGGAACUAGGCAAAUUAACCCUGUAACUUCGGGAA